GGUUAAUAAUAUACAUUUUGAAGAAAUGAAAAGUGUUGAAAAUCUAAAAAUAAAAAAAAAGACGUAUACGGAAAUUAUUCCUAGUCCAGUGCGAUUUAUGAUCAAAUGUCCUUUCAAAUGUGUAGAAGUCCAUCAAUUUCAAGAGUUCAUGAAGGCUAGCCCUAACCGUUGUGGCGGUUGGAACGAGUAUAACCACAAUAUAUUUGUUAAAAUUUGGGAUAAAUAUAAUGGAAAUUUGGUAUUUACAUCAAAAUCUAAUGGCGAUUAUUCAAGCGAACUUUUGCAAGAAUUUAUAGGCGAAAUCUUACAAAAAAUUGCAGAUGCAAAAUUUGAAGAUAUUAAUUCACAUAUCGAAUGGUAUUCGCAGUAUAUUAACCUUAAAAUGUGCCAAAAAAAAGCUCUUGAUAAAUGGAAGGAAAAUAAGAUCAAAAUUAAAAUGCCGUUUCGGGAU